rnacentral:tRNA from 1 species
GUAGGUUUAGCUCAGUUGGUUAGAGCGCUAGUUUGUGGCACUAGAGGUCGUGGGUUCGAAUCCCAUAUCCUACCCCA